rnacentral:lncRNA from 1 species
CCAGGGUCCACAUGCAAAUAGGCAUUUGGGGAGUGAGUCAUCAGAGCAGGUGUCCGUUGACAGGCACCGCCUCGGGGCUUCGUGCCACACUCAUGCUGUACCUCCACCAGCUCAGGUCAGCCCUAAAAGCCACCAACGCUCGGCCAGCUCCGCGGAAGAGCCAUUGCUUGGGAGCCAGCUGAAGAAAGCCAUUUCCCAAGAGAUGUGAUUCCACCAGCCACGACAAGAAAAUGGGGAAAGAAAGGACGGUUCGGCCUUCCCCCUUCCCUUCAUAAAGAUGGUGAUUUUAAACAGGCA